UCCUUGUGGCUCAGUCGGUAAAGAGUCUGCCUGCAAUGCAGGAGACCCAGGUUCAGUUCCUGGAUCGGGAA
rnacentral:tRNA from 1 species